CCACACUGGGACUGAGACACGGCCCAGACUCAUACGGGAGGCAGCAGUGGGGAAUAUUGCACAAUGGGCGGAAGCCUGAUGCAGCGACGCCGCGUGGGGGAUGACGGCCUUCGGGUUGUAAACCCCUUUCGGCAGGGAACAAGCCGCUUCGGUGGUGAGGGUACCUGCGGAAGAAGCGCCGGCUAACUACGUGCCAGCAGCCGCGGUAAUACGUAGGGCGCGAGCGUUAUCCGGAAUUAUUGGGCGUAAAGAGCUCGUAGGCGGUUUGUCGCGUCUGCUGUGAAAGCCCGGGGCUCAACCCCGGGUCUGCAGUGGGUACGGGCAGGCUGGAGUGCAGUAGGGGAGACUGGAAUUCCUGGUGUAGCGGUGAAAUGCGCAGAUAUCAGGAGGAACACCGAUGGCGAAGGCAGGUCUCUGGGCUGUAACUGACGCUGAGGAGCGAAAGCAUGGGGAGCGAACAGGAUUAGAUACCCUGGUAGUCCAUGCCGUAAACGUUGGGCACUAGGUGUGGGGGCCAUUCCACGGUUUCCGCGCCGCAGCUAACGCAUUAAGUGCCCCGCCUGGGGAGUACGGCCGCAAGGCUAAAACUCAAAGGAAUUGACGGGGGCCCGCACAAGCGGCGGAGCAUGCGGAUUAAUUCGAUGCAACGCGAAGAACCUUACCAAGGCUUGACAUGUGCCGGACCGUCCCAGAGAUGGGGCUUCCCUUCGGGGCCGGUUCACAGGUGGUGCAUGGU
rnacentral:rRNA from 1 species